AGUGAAGCGGCAACAGCUCAAAUUUGAAAUCUGGCGUCUUUGGCGUCCGAGUUGUAAUUUGCAGAGGGCGCUUUGGCAUUGGCAGCGGUCCAAGUUCCUUGGAACAGGACGUCACAGAGGGUGAGAAUCCCGUACGUGGUCGCUAGCCUUUACCGUGUAAAGCCCCUUCGACGAGUCGAGUUGUUUGGGAAUGCAGCUCUAAAUGGGAGGUAAAUUUCUUCUAAAGCUAAAUACUGGCCAGAGACCGAUAGCGCACAAGUAGAGUGAUCGAAAGAUGAAAAGCACUUUGGAAAGAGAGUUAAAAAGCACGUGAAAUUGUUGAAAGGGAAGCGCUUGCAGCCAGACUUGCCUGUAGUUGCUCAUCCGGGUUUCUACCCGGUGCACUCUUCUAUAGGCAGGCCAGCAUCAGUUUGGGCGGUUGGAUAAAGGUCUCUGUCAUGUACCUCCUCUCGGGGAGAACUUAUAGGGGAGACGACAUGCAACCAGCCCGGACUGAGGUCCGCGCAUCUGCUAGGAUGCUGGCGUAAUGGCUGUAAGCGGCCCGUCUUGAAACACGGACCAAGGAGUCUAACAUCUAUGCGAGUGUUUGGGUGUCAAGCCCGAGCGCGUAAUGAAAGUGAACGGAGGUGGGAACCUUUCGGGGUGCACCAUCGACCGAUCCUGAUGUCUUCGGAUGGAUUUGAGUAAGAGCAUAGCUGUUGGGACCCGAAAGAUGGUGAACUAUGCUUGAAUAGGGUGAAGCCAGAGGAAACUCUGGUGGAGGCUCGCAGCGGUUCUGACGUGCAAAUCGAUCGUCA
rnacentral:rRNA from 1 species